UACGUAGGGGGGCAAGCGUUGUCCGGAUUUAUUGGGCGUAAAGAGCUCGUAGGCGGACCUGCAAGUCGGGGGUGAAAGCCCGAGGCUCAACCUCGGAACUGCCUUCGAUACUGCGGGUCUCGAGUCCGGGAGAGGUGAGUGGAAUUCCUAGUGUAGAGGUGAAAUUCGUAGAUAUUAGGAAGAACACCAGUGGCGAAGGCGGCUCACUGGCCCGGUACUGACGGCUGAGGCGCGAAAGCGUGGGGAGCAAACAGG
rnacentral:rRNA from 1 species